rnacentral:rRNA from 1 species
CAGCACCUCAAGUGGUCAGGAUGAUUAUUGGGCCUAAAGCAUCCGUAGCCGGCUCUGUAAGUUUUCGGUUAAAUCUGUACGCUCAACGUACAAGCUGCCGGGAAUACUGCAGAGCUAGGGAGUGGGAGAGGUAGACGGUACUCGGUAGGAAGGGGUAAAAUCCUUUGAUCUAUUGAUGACCACCUGUGGCGAAGGCGGUCUACCAGAACACGUCCGACGGUGAGGGAUGAAAGCUGGGGGAGCAAACCGGAUUAGAUACCCGAGUAGUCC